CUGCAUGAAAGGCUGUACAACUUUACAUGUGGUCAAGAAUAAACGAGUCUCUGGCUUGCUUCUGACUCCAGCUUCUUUCCUUGGGCUGCCAACAGAGGAGCUGAGUGAUAGAAAAAGCUAACUAUUACCUGAACUAAAGCUAUUCAACAACAAAAGCUCAUCUUUAUAGAGGCAUGAAAGCUGUGAUUGGUCUGCAGUUGAUGCUGAUAGGAGUCUGUUGUGGUUUGAAAUCUUCCUGUGUUGCCAAGCUAAAUGGAGUUAAAUGCUAUGGAUCCUUGGGAGGAACAUUGAACAUUCAGAUAAUGGAUGAUGCCUCAAAAAUACCUUAUUUCAAGUGGGUAAAGAACCGCUCAGUGUUACUGCGCUGGAUGGCCAACAAGAUUGUAAGCCGUACAAGAGAUAGCAGGUUUAACUUUUUUCCGAGUAGUGGGACAGUUAGGAUCACUAACCUGACAGCGGAUGACAAUGGUCUAUAUAAACUUGAUAUGAUUAGUGAAAAUGGAAAAUAUGAAGGCUCAAAAGCUCUGCAGCUGUACGUCGAAGCUCCUGUGUCUUCUGCCUGGCUAGUCUCUAAAUGUGGGUCCUUGGGUACGCAGAGGGUGUUCUGCUUUUCUGGGGCAGGUAACAAUACUUGGUACGAAUGGACUCUGGAUGGACGACCACUGAAAGGCUUUGAGAAGAUGUAUGGAAACAUUCCAGCUAGCACCAUUCUUCUGGGAUCGAAGAAAACAGGCCGUCUGGUCUGCUCAAUCAGUAAUCACAUCAGUAAUUCCUUUACAGAGAUGAAGGUGACCAGCUGUGUGACGGGUGGGAGGAAAAAAUCUGGUUAGCCCUGGAUGAAACUGUCCCACAAAAAUCGUUGUGAAGAGGAAUAUAUUGACCAUUCUGCCCAGCAAUCAAGAGGCAACAGCUUGCCUCUUGUUGGCUGGAGAUCGACACCGGCCCGACUGGAGACCCUGCAAGGAUAAUCAUAUUCAGAUAAUGGAUGGAUGGAAGAAUAAAAUAUUAAAAACUUGAGAACUUCUCACUCUCCCAAAAGUGGAGGAUGCAGUGAUCCCUGUUCUGUUGAUUGAAAAGAAACAUUCUACUUGCUUAGCUUAUUCACAUGAAAAAUGAAUUUCCGAAGUGAAAUUUUAAAAUAUAAAUUCUUAUACAGAAAAUAUUGUAGAAUAAUCAUCACGAAUUCAAUACAUCAUGAACCGAGUUAUAAUUUAGUGUCCCUUUUCUGAUAUUUGUCUGUAACAGGUCUGGUCUUAUGUCUUAAGUUUGUCAUUCUUGAACUUUGAUAUUUUCACUAUCUUUCUGUUGUAUAGUGGUGCAUCUGCAAACGUGUUGUUUUUUUUUUUGCAUGGAAAAUUCAUUUAAUCAAACAUUAUUAAAAGUUAAGUAUCAUAAAGUAAUUUUUUAAAUUAAAUACAGUAGCUUUUAAACCACACAGCAUCAUACAUAAUGUGCCUUGUUUUCUUUCUUUCUUUUUUUUUGUAACAAUAUAACUUGUUGUCGGCAUCCUCUAAGAGGUGACUUAAACAACUUUAUUGAGAAAAAAAACAUUCUGAAUUUUUUUCAGCUGUAUGAAUAGCAGUGUGAAUACAUAUUUGUCUGCCUUG